ACCCUUUGGUUCCCUUUCCCAUUUCCCAUGCCCCAUGCUGGUCAUAAAAGGAGGAAAAGUAAUACUGGAGUGGGCCUCAUAGCUCUGUAGCAUGUGGGCUAAUUUCAAACAAGG